rnacentral:rRNA from 1 species
UCAGGCCUAACACAUGCAAGUCGAACGGCAGCGGGCUCUUCGGAGUGCCGGCGAGUGGCAAACGGGUGAGUAAUACAUCGGAACAUGCCCAGUAGUGGGGGAUAGCUCGGCGAAAGCCGAAUUAAUACCGCAUACGACCUUCGGGUGAAAGGGGGGGAUCUUCGGACCUCUCGCUAUUGGAGUGGCCGAUGCCUGAUUAGUUUGUUGGUGGGGUAACGGCCUACCAAGACUGCGAUCAGUAGCUGGUCUGAGAGGACGAUCAGCCACACUGGGACUGAGACACGGCCCAGACUCCUACGGGAGGCAGCAGUGGGGAAUCUUGGACAAUGGGCGAAAGCCUGAUCCAGCAAUGCCGCGUGUGCGAUGAAGGCUUUCGGGUUGUAAAGCACUUUUGUCAGGGAAGAAAUGGUUCGGGCCAAUACCUCGGACUUCUGACGGUACCUGAAGAAUAAGCACCGGCUAACUACGUGCCAGCAGCCGCGGUAAUACGUAGGGUGCAAGCGUUAAUCGGAAUUACUGGGCGUAAAGCGUGCGCAGGCGGUUUAUUAAGACAGGUGUGAAAUCCCCGGGCUUAACCUGGGAACUGCAUCUGUGACUAAUAGACUAGAGUUUGGCAGAGGGGGGUGGAAUUCCUGGUGUAGCAGUGAAAUGCGUAGAUAUCAGGAGGAACACCGAUGGCGAAGGCAGCCCCCUGGGCCAC